AACUCCAAUAGCGUAUGUUAAAGUUGUUGCGGCUGGAAAGCUCGUAGUUGGAUUUCUGCCGAGGACGACCGGUCCGCCCUCAAGGUGAGAAUCUGGCUCGGCCUGGGCAUCUGCUUGGAGAACGUAGCUGCACUUGAUUGUGUGGUGCGGUAUCCAGGACUUUUACUUUUAGGAAAUUAGAAUGUUGCAAGCAAGCACACGCCUUGAAUACAUUAGCACGGAAUAGUAAGAUAGGACCUCGGAUCUAUUUUGUUGGUUUCUAGCGCUGAGGUAACGAUUAAUAGGGAUAGUUGGUGGCAUUCGUAUUUAAUUGUCGGAAGUAAAAUUCUUGGAUUUGUUCAAGACGGACUACUGCGAAAGUAUUUGCCAAGGAUGUUUUCA
rnacentral:rRNA from 1 species